rnacentral:rRNA from 1 species
GAUGAACGCUGGCGGCGUGCCUAAUACAUGCAAGUCGAGCGAACAGAUAAGGAGCUUGCUCCUUUGACGUUAGCGGCGGACGGGUGAGUAACACGUGGGUAACCUAUCUAUAAGACUGGAAUAACUCCGGGAAACCGGGGCUAAUGCCGGAUAACAUGUUGAACCGCAUGGUUCUACAGUGAAAGGCGGCUUUGCUGUCACUUAUAGAGGGACCCGCGCCGGAUUAGCUAGUUGGUGAGGUAACGGCUCACCAAGGCAACGAUACGUAGCCGACCUGAGAGGGUGAUCGGCCACACUGGAACUGAGACACGGUCCAGACUCCUACGGGAGGCAGCAGUAGGGAAUCUUCCGCAAUGGGCGAAAGCCUGACGGAGCAACGCCGCGUGAGUGAUGAAGGUCUUCGGAUCGUAAAACUCUGUUAUUAGGGAAGAACAAAUGCGUAAGUAACUGUGCGCGUCUUGACGGUACCUAAUCAGAAAGCCACGGCUAACUACGUG